rnacentral:rRNA from 1 species
UACGUAGGUGGCAAGCGUUGUCCGGAUUUAUUGGGUUUAAAGGGUGCGUAGGCGGCUUUGUAAGUCAGUGGUGAAAUCUGGCAGCUCAACUGUCAGGGUGCCAUUGAUACUGCAGAGCUUGAGUACAGAUGAGGUAGGCGGAAUUGACGGUGUAGCGGUGAAAUGCUUAGAUAUCGGCAAGAACACCGAUAGCGAAGGCAGCUUACUGGGCUGUAACUGACGCUGAGGCACGAAAGUGUGGGGAUCAAACAGG